rnacentral:rRNA from 1 species
AGCAGCAGCCGCGGGAAUACGAAGGGGGCUAGCGUUGUUCGGAAUCACUGGGCGUAAAGGGAGCGCAGGCGGUUUAGUAAGUCUGAAGUUAAAGGCAUUGGCUCAACCAAUGUAUGCUUUGGAAACUGUUAGACUUGAGUGCAGAAGGGGAGAGUGGAAUUCCAUGUGUAGCGGUGAAAUGCGUAGAUAUAUGGAGGAACACCGGUGGCGAAGGCGGCUUUUUGGCCUGUAACUGACACUGAGGCGCGAAAGCGUGGGGAGCAAACAGGAUUAGAUACCCCAGUAGUCCCUGUCUCUUAUACC